UACGUAGGGUGCAAGCGUUAAUCGGAAUCACUGGGCGUAAAGGGUGCGUAGGCGGGUCUUUAAGUCAGGGGGGAAAUCCUGGAGCUCAACUCCAGAACUGCCUUUGAUACUGAAGAUCUUGAGUUCGGGAGAGGUGAGUGGAACUGCGAGUGUAGAGGUGAAAUUCGUAGAUAUUCGCAAGAACACCAGUGGCGAAGGCGGCUCACUGGCCCGAUACUGACGCUGAGGCACGAAAGCGUGGGGAGCAAACAGG
rnacentral:rRNA from 1 species